rnacentral:rRNA from 1 species
CAGUAGCCGCGGGAAUACGAGGGGGGCAAGCGUUGUUCGGAAUUAUUGGGCGUAAAGGGCGCGUAGGCGGUUUGACAAGUCUUAUGUGAAAUCUUCGGGCUCAACUCGAAGUCUGCAUGGGAAACUGUCGGGCUUGAGUAUGGGAGAGGUGAGUGGAAUUUCCGGUGUAGCGGUGAAAUGCGUAGAUAUCGGAAGGAACACCUGUGGCGAAAGCGGCUCACUGGACCAUAACUGACGCUGAGGCGCGAAAGCUAGGGGAGCAAACAGGAUUAGAUACCCCAGUAGUCCCUGUCUCUUAUAC